UUCCUAACUAUAACCAAUGUCAUGUUCCGGGGUCUUUUAGCUCCUUUGUGGAGUUUUUGUGCAUGCACUCGUUUUUCUCCACCACUAGAUGGCGCCUUUACCAUUCCGUCGGAGGGCGUGGAUGACGUCAUCCCACACCUGAUGCGAGUUUUGGCUCAUCAGCGAGAUGUUCAAGAGGAGCUGACUGCCAGUCCUUCGGCGCCUGAGUGUUAGCCAGUCACGGUGUUUCCUCCUGGCUCCUCUACAACCGCUGAUCCUGAGCCUACCUGUCCGCCCUCCGACGUACUCCCUUUGCCUCCUGGAUCCCCGCUGUCAGACAAGACGACCACCUGGAACCUCUGAGAACUAAAACCCCGGACGCUGCAGUUACCCUCUCACUUCUCUAACCUGCCGAUCACAAUGAACUGUUUGUUCCCUGAACCAGCCUCUCUCCCUGGACCCGACCCGAGCCAACUAUUCCUGCCAGCAGUGUUUUCAAUAAAUUUCUUUAUUUUCA